CCAUGCAGAUUUUUGUAUGCUUCAGCACUCUCUCUCUCUCUCUCUCUUUCUCUCUCUCUCACACACACACACACACACACACACACACACACUGUUUGGAGAGAGGAUGUGUAAAGUAAAUGUCAAGGACAUCAUUAAGCUCCAGGAACAAUAACAUGAUAUCUCUAAUGCUUGUCUGCUAUUUACAACUUUGAGAAACUGAAUAUUUGUAGUCUUUUGAUGACCUUCUACUCUUUAUAUUAGUGCACAGCAUAUGUCUCUCCUGGGAAUGACUGCAAAAGCCAGUGCACUCAUACAGCAACAACCAAUCUACUAGACAGCCUACAACAAACUGGCUAUAAGGAAAACAUAUUUCAGGUUUGUGUGUGUGUGUGUGCUGUGCCAUUUUGGUUCAUGGAAUUACUUCUUGGAAACUGUUUCUCAGUGGGUAUGAAGCACCUCUUAAAAACUGGGAUAAGAUUAAGGGAAAAAAUGACAAAUUAUGUCCUCAUACCCUCCGGGCGCAAGAAUGCUUUUAAAAAGAAGGAAGAGAGAAACCCAAGGGUCCGUCGAGAGGCAUAAUAACCUAUAAGAGCGGAGAAAAUCCCAUUACCUGUCAUACACUUCUCCCCUCAUAAUUACUAGAACCACCUCUCCGAAAAAGGUGAAGGACACUCUUUUAUGGAGGCGCUCCGUCGUGUGAGACCAUUUAGCUCACCCUGCUCCGAGUCGCAGUGGAAAACAAGCCCGAUAUCUAUCUCUUUGGCUGACACCUUGUUCCAUGUCCUUUUUAAAAUUAGUCCGUGUUCUCAGGCGAGGGCUGAGCAUUGCUGAAGGGCGCGUGUUUGUGUGUUGUAUUUGAUCACACUGCAUCUUGGUCUUCCUGCGAAUCACAACGCUGUCGUGCGCGCGCGAACGUGUCUAUAAUACUCCUAUCUGUUUUGUCAUGGCCACAUUUGACACGUGACACAUGCGGACUACCUACCGUGAGCGAGGUCAGAGCACACAGACACAGAGGAUUGCAUCUCCGCCUGGCCCUCUCUCUUCACGGCCUGAAAGAGUGUCAACGAGCCAUGUUCAUCUUACCUAAUCUUUUGCUUUCCGUGGGAGGCUGGUCCAAGAGGAUAACCAAAAGGGAAAUGCCUUCAUUUGACAAUGGACAGGAGAGAGAAGAUACAACAGGACAACAAUGAGUGGGAGAGAGAGAGAUGGGGCGUGGGCUGGAGAGAUGACUCCUGGGUACUGGACCUACGCUACCUCUGCGCUACGGCUACACCCGUGGGGCCGUCUCUUAAGUUUAGAUUGGAUAUGAUCUAAUGAUCAGAUAGUUUGCUCAGGCACAGCAACUCAAAGAAAGAAUUGGAUCUGUGGAAAUGAAACAUGUAUCACGUCACCAUAACAUGUGUUUGACAUGACCUCCACUCCCAUACAAACGUGCGCACAAACACACACACAAACACACACACACACACACACACACACACACACACACACACACACACACACACACAUAUAUAUACACUCGCACUACCCCAGCUCUUUGCAAUCUCCUUCCAGGCGCUACCAAGGAGUAUUUGUGUCUGUAACAAUGUCAUUACAACAGCUGACAAAGAAUAACAUGUUCCUAGGGCACAUUGGUGUGGCUGUUAUGGUGGUGUUUUGUGUGUGUAUGUGUUUGUGUGUGUGUGUGUGUGUGUGUGGUUGUGUGUAUGUGUGUGUGUUUGGGAGGGGUAAUGAUGGGAGAAGCUUUCCUUUCAUACUGAUUGCCGCAGACUCAGGGUAAUGGAACAUUAGAGCCCUUCCACAAAUCUCUUUCCGUGUGCGCGCGAAGGGCCGGCGAAUGACUGGUUGCUUCGUCUCCACUUUGCAGAGAUUUCAGAUGUAUAUGUUGCCCCUCUAUGGUACAUUGCUAUUUAAUGACCCUUACUCCUCAAAGUUGUGCAAUCUAUCGUGGCACACACAUGCUGUGUUGGCAAGUGGAUUGUAUGAAUAGGUUUCACCUCCAUUUUUUCCCCUUUGUGCUUGGACCUUUCUGUACAGCUAAGCUGUAGCAAAUGACUGUUAGGCUGUUCUGUGUCUGCAUAGAAUACAUAAAAGCUAUACAUAAAAUUAUCUGCAGUGAGAGGCAAUCUCAGGGGAAAAUAGUGAACUGACAUACCAGCAUUGUGAUAAGGGCAACUCUCUCUCUCGCUUUCGCUCACACACACACACACACACACACACACACACACACACACACACACAAUCACAUACUCAUACACACACACACGUUAACAGUUGCAGUAAAAUCUUCAGAUGCUACUGACCUUGAGUGUUAAAAUUGCAGUCAGACAAAAAGCGCAGUGACACCCAGGCACUUUGCAGCUGGAUUGCAGGCCUGCCAGUAAGCAUUGUUCUCUAAGCACAGUCAGUGAUGGAUUGUCUGUUGACAGAAAGCAUCCACUCCUCAUCAAAGAGAACCAGACAAACAGGUCCUAACUGGCAGCCAAAGAGGCAUUUACCCUCCACCAAGAUUUGGAAACAGGAAAUCAAUGUUUCACUGCUUCUUGCUAUCAGGGCAGCUCAGUAGACAUCUCACCACCAUCCCAUCCACACCAGGCCCUCUGUGGUCCUGCUGGAUGGGCACAUUUGACGGGUUGAAUCCCAUCUGGGUGUCAGCGUUGACCCCCUGGCUCUGCUCCUGGAAGAAAAUGAGCGUUCUGCUCCCAGUGAACACAGUAAUGAUUUGGUUUCAUUGCGGUAAUGCAGGCCCACACUGCCAAGUCACAUUUCCAACGAGUCCAAUGUCCCUUACGUAACGGCUAAUGUUGUUGUUUUGUUGACUGUUGUCCAAUUUGACUUUGAUCGGGCCACCAAGUGCGAUUCCAAAUCUCGAGUAGGCACUUUCAAGUGUAUGGAAAAUUUCUGCAUGAAAAGCU
ensembl:lncRNA